UAUUGUAUGAUGCGUAUGAAUAUCACGUCAACGAGUUUUUCAUGAUCUCCAGCAUCGUUGUGAUCGUUCUAGGAUUAUUGGAGCGUGAUUCGCAGCUAGGAGUGAGAAAGCGUAAGUAGACCAUGUCAAUACACAGACAUGAGCACGUGCAUGAAUUCACAUUAUACCAUGAUGACCGCAGCUUUACAGAUUAGUAAGAUAAUAGAUACUAAUUCUGCAGCUCCAAGAGAUGUAGUUUCGUGCAAACAACACCUUGAAGGCUGAUGUAAACUGUUAACUGCGAUCGUUACAGAUUUCGUUUAAGAAAGCCUAGCUCUAGCUUCAGCUUUAUAUCAAACAUAUGUUAUGGUCAGUCAACUGCUCGGGAUGUGGCAAAGAGAAGUGAUAUGAUGCGACGAUACGGUCAUCUCUUCAAAGAUCGGAUCCAAUCUUCUCGGAUAUUGACUGCGCUAUAUCAUACCCCGUGCUAUUCUUCGCUCCCUCCUUCUGACCGCCAAUAGAAGCAGCACGGUAACAUCGAUGGAAACUCCGGUAUUCAACCCCUACUGCCAUACCACUACCCCUUCCGUCAUACCCGCUGCUUCUCAUUUCCCCGCCUUUUCUUCUCUGUCUACCUCGUUCCUUCUCCCAUAACUUCAACAAUUCCAAUAGUCGUUAAUCUGUCGGAAACUUUCGGAAAACUUGCCGUUAUUGCAGGUAGAUGGGCGGGACCGUACGAGUUGGAUGAGAGAAGAGAAGAGAAGAGAAGAGAAGAGAAGAGAAGAGAAGAGAAGAGAGUGAGAGAUGAGGGAAACGUCGGAGACGGAGGAAAAGAGGAAGAGACGCAGUAGGGAAUUCGAGUCUGACUGUAUAAGGAGGAGGGUGGUUCGGGAGGGUGGCUCAGGGUGCCUACCCCCAGAUGGGUGUUACAGGGGUGCAGGGUGAAAACGCUCAGCAGAAAACACUGUGAAAACAAGCUAAAAUUGAGAUUCUGUGGUAGUGCUGCAAUGGCGAAGUGACCUUGGUAGUCAGGAAUCCGGUCUGACAACAUGGAUCGACACAACCCACUGGCGUAAGAAUCCCUUCGUCCAUCCAUCUAUGCACUUAUUCGUCUGCGAUGUCGUGGACCUCACAAUCGAUAUGUGUUGAAAAAUAAAUAUUCUACGUCCCAAUUAAAUGUAUUCCAAACUGAGCGAACCUUUAUUUAAGUUCUUUGAAAUCACACAUAUGAAAAGAUUUUAG